rnacentral:rRNA from 1 species
GUGAGGAAUUUUCCGCAAUGGGCGAAAGCCUGACGGAGCAAUGCCGCGUGAAGGAUGAAGGCCUAUGGGUUGUAAACUUCUUUUCUCAGAAAAGAAUUAUGACGGUAUCUGAGGAAUAAGCAUCGGCUAACUCUGUGCCAGCAGCCGCGGUAAGACAGAGGAUGCAAGCGUUAUCCGGAAUGAUUGGGCGUAAAGCGUCUGUAGGUUGUUUAAAAAGUAUUCUGUCAAAGAUUAGGGCUUAACCCUAGAUAGGCAGAAUAAACUUUUAAGCUAGAGUUUGGUAGAGGCAGAGGGAAUUCCCGGUGGAGCGGUGAAAUGCGUAGAUAUCGGGAGGAACACCAAAGGCCAAGGCACUCUGCUGGGCCAAUACUAACACUGAGAGACGAAAGCGAGGGGAGCAAAUGGGAUUAGAAACCCUAGUAGUCC